CGGACGGGUGAGUAAUGUCUGGGAAACUGCCCGAUGGAGGGGGAUAACUACUGGAAACGGUAGCUAAUACCGCAUAACGUCGCAAGACCAAAGAGGGGGACCUUAGGGCCUCUUGCCAUCGGAUGUGCCCAGAUGGAAUUAGCUAGUAGGUGGGGUAACGGCUCACCUAGGCGACGAUCCCUAGCUGGUCUGAGAGGAUGACCAGCCACACUGGAACUGAGACACGGUCCAG
rnacentral:rRNA from 1 species